rnacentral:rRNA from 1 species
GAUGAACGCUGGCGGCGUGCCUAAUACAUGCAAGUCGAACGGAAGGACGAGAAGCUUGCUUCUCUGAUGUUGGCGACGGGCGGGUGAGUGACGAGUAGAUAACCUUCCUCUUUGACUUGGAUAACUUCGGGGAGCCGGAGCUGCUAACAGAUGAUACUUUGAACGGCAUGGUUCAGGAGUGAAUGACGGUCUUGCUGUCACUUAUAGAUGGAUCCGCGCUGCAUUAGCUAGUUGGUAAGGUAACGGCUUACCAAGGAAACGAUGCAUAGCCGACCUGAGAGGGUGAUCGGCCACACUGGAACUGAGACACGGUCCAGACUCCUACGGGAGGCAGCAGUAGGGAAUCUUCGACAAUGGGCGAAAGCCUGACGGAGCAACGCCGCGUGGGUGAUGAAGGUCUUCGGAUCGUAAAACUCUGUUAUUAGGGAAGAACAUAUGUGUAAGUAACUGUGCAUAUCUUGACGGUACCUAAUCAGAAAGCAACGGCUAACUACGUG